rnacentral:lncRNA from 1 species
GAGUUCAUUGUAAGAAGGCCCAAGAGUAAGCCAUGUGAGGUUGAUGGCGAUGCUUAAAAGCAAUCGACUUACAAGGAUAUGGAAAAGGGCUCGACGUUGAAUCGAGAAUUAGGUGAUUUCAUAGGUUUUAAAAAAAUGGUUUUGAAUGAGUUUUUUUUUUUAAAAAUGAGAUUGAGAUGAUUUAUCAUGAUUGUGACAUAACUCACACAUAAAGGCAAAUAAUUUGUACAAAC